GUGGCCUGUCGGUAGAGUUGGAGCAGGCCGCUCUCGUCGCCCUGGGCUUGCAGCCGUGCCAGCCUGGGCAUCAGUGCCAUGCUGAGCGGGCCGCU
rnacentral:tRNA from 1 species